rnacentral:rRNA from 1 species
UUAAGCAUAUCAAUAAGCGGAGGAAAAGAAACUAACAAGGAUUCCCCUAGUAACUGCGAGUGAAGCGGGAAAAGCUCAAAUUUGAAAUCUGGCGGCUCUUUGACCGUCCGAGUUGUAAUCUAGAGAAGUGCUACCCGUGCUGGACUGUGUACAAGUCUCCUGGAAUGGGGCAUCAUAGAGGGUGAGAAUCCCGUCUUUGACACGGACUGCCAGUGCGCCGUGGGUGUGCUCUCGAAGAGUCGAGUUGUUUGGGAAUGCAGCUCAAAAUGGGUGGUAAAUGCCAUCUAAAGCUAAAUAUUGGCGAGAGACCGAUAGCGAACAAGUACCGUGAGGGAAAGAUGAAAAGUACUUUGGAAAGAGAGUUAAACAGUACGUGAAAUUGCUGAAAGGGAAACGCUUGGAGUCAGUCGCGUCGGCCAGGAAUCAGCCUGCUUCUGCUUGGUGUACUUUCUGGUUCAACGGGUCAGCAUCAAUCUUGACCGCCGGACAAAGUCUUUGGGAAUGUGGCAUCUUCUGGAUGUGUUAUAGCCCAUGGUUGCAUGCGGUGGCUGGGAUUGAGGAACUCGGCGUGCCCGCAAGGGAAUUGGGUCCUCGGACCACAUUUCGCGCCUAGGAUGCUGGCAUAAUGGCUUUAAUCGACCCGUCUUGAAACACGGACCAAGGAGUCUAACAUGCCUGCGAGUGUUUGGGUGGAAAAACCCAUGCGCGCAAUGAAAGUGAAAGUUGAGACCUCUGUCAAAGGAGAGCAUUGACGCCCAGACCAGACCUUCUGCGACGGAUCUGCGGUAGAGCAUGCAUGUUGGGACCCGAAAGAUGGUGAACUAUGCCUGAAUAGGGUGAAGCCAGAGGAAACUCUGGUGGAGGCUCGUAGCGAUUCUGACGUGCAAAUCGAUCGUCAAAUUUGGGUAUAGGGGCGAAAGACUAAUCGAACCAUCUAGUAGCUGGUUCCUGCGA